AUUGAACGCUGGCGGCAUGCCUUACACAUGCAAGUCGAACGGUAACAGGUCUUCGGACGCUGACGAGUGGCGAACGGGUGAGUAAUACAUCGGAACGUGCCCAGUCGUGGGGGAUAACUACUCGAAAGAGUGGCUAAUACCGCAUACGAUCUGAGGAUGAAAGCGGGGGACCUUCGGGCCUCGCGCGAUUGGAGCGGCCGAUGGCAGAUUAGGUAGUUGGUGGGAUAAAAGCUUACCAAGCCGACGAUCUGUAGCUGGUCUGAGAGGACGACCAGCCACACUGGGACUGAGACACGGCCCAGACUCCUACGGGAGGCAGCAGUGGGGAAUUUUGGACAAUGGGCGAAAGCCUGAUCCAGCAAUGCCGCGUGCAGGAUGAAGGCCUUCGGGUUGUAAACUGCUUUUGUACGGAACGAAAAAGCUUCCCCUAAUACGGGAGGCCCAUGACGGUACCGUAAGAAUAAGCACCGGCUAACUACGUGCCAGCAGCCGCGGUAACAC
rnacentral:rRNA from 1 species